rnacentral:tRNA from 1 species
GCGGGGAUACCCGAGCCAGGUCUAAGGGGCAGGGCAUCGCUAUCGAAGGUAGCGGUGUGCCAAGCUUAGGAGGUAUCAGCCGAUGCUGGAGGAACCCUGUGGCGAAGGCCUUCGUGGGUUCAAAUCCCACUCCCCGCACCA